rnacentral:rRNA from 1 species
UCCAGACUCCUACGGGAGGCAGCAGUAGGGAAUCUUCGGCAAUGGGCGAAAGCCUGACCGAGCAACGCCGCGUGAAUGAAGAAGGCCUUCGGGUUGUAAAAUUCUGUUAUAAGGGAAGAAAGGUGAUAGGAGGAAAUGACUAUCAAUUGACGGUACCUUAUGAGAAAGCCACGGCUAACUACGUGCCAGCAGCCGCGGUAAUACGUAGGGGGCAAGCGUUAUCCGGAAUUACUGGGUGUAAAGGGAGCGCAGACGGCAGUGCAAGUCGGGAGUGAAAGCCCGUGGCUUAACCACGGGACUGCUCUGGAAACUGUGCAGCUAGAGUGCAGGAGAGGCAGGCGGAAUUCCUAGUGUAGCGGUGAAAUGCGUAGAUAUUAGGAGGAACACCGGUGGCGAAGGCGGCCUGCUGGACUGUAACUGACGUUGAGGCUCGAAAGCGUGGGGAGCAAACAGGAUUAGAUACCCUGGUA